GAUGAACGCUGGCGGCGUGCCUAAUACAUGCAAGUCGAGCGAAUGGAUUAAGAGCUUGCUCUUAUGAAGUUAGCGGCGGACGGGUGAGUAACACGUGGGUAACCUGCCCAUAAGACUGGGAUAACUCCGGGAAACCGGGGCUAAUACCGGAUAACAUUUUGAACCGCAUGGUUCGAAAUUGAAAGGCGGCCUCGGCUGUCACUUAUGGAUGGACCCGCGUCGCAUUAGCUAGCUGGUGAGGUAACGGCUCACCAAGGCAACGAUGCGUAGCCGACCUGAGAGGGUGAGCGGCCACACUGGGACUGAGACACGGCCCAGACUCCUACGGGAGGCAGCAGUAGGGAAUCUUCCGCAAUGGACGAAAGUCUGACGGAGCAACGCCGCGUGAGUGAUGAAGGCUUUCGGGUCGUAAAACUCUGUUGUUAGGGAAGGACAAGUGCUAGUUGAAUAAGCUGGCACCUUGACGGUACCUAACCAGAAAGCCACGGCUAACUACGUGCCAGCCGCCGCAGUAA
rnacentral:rRNA from 1 species